rnacentral:rRNA from 1 species
AUUGAACGCUGGCGGCAGGCCUAACACAUGCAAGUCGAGCGAGCGGCGGACGGGUGAGUAAUGUAUGGGGACUGCCCGAUAGAGGGGGAUAACUACUGGAAACGGUAGCUAAUACCGCAUACUAUCGGAUAACCCAUAUGGGAUUAGCUAGUAGGUGAGGUAAUGGCUCACCUAGGCGACGAUCCCUAGCUGGUCUGAGAGGAUGAUCAGCCACACUGUGACAGGGAAACGGCCCAGACUCCUACGGAGGCAGCGGUGGGGAAUAUUGGCCAAUGGGGGCAAGCCUGAUGCAGCCAUGCCGCGUGUAUGAAGAAGGCCCUAAGGUUGUAAAGUACUUUCAGUCGGGAGGCGUUACCGACAGAAGAAGCACCGGCUAACUCCGUGACAGCAGCCGCGGUAAUAC